CAGUCGCCGCGGUAAUACGAAGGGGGCUAGCGUUGUUCGGAAUUACUGGGCGUAAAGCGCACGUAGGCGGAUUGUUAAGUUAGGGGUGAAAUCCCAGGGCUCAACCCUGGAACUGCCUUUAAUACUGGCAAUCUCGAGUCCGAGAGAGGUGAGUGGAAUUCCGAGUGUAGAGGUGAAAUUCGUAGAUAUUCGGAGGAACACCAGUGGCGAAGGCGGCUCACUGGCUCGGUACUGACGCUGAGGUGCGAAAGCGUGGGGAGCAAACAGGAUUAGAUACCCCGGUAGUCCCUGUCUCUUAUAC
rnacentral:rRNA from 1 species